AUUGAACGCUGGCGGCAGGCCUAACACAUGCAAGUCGAACGGUAACAGGAAACAGCUUGCUGUUUCGCUGACGAGUGGCGGACGGGUGAGUAAUGUCUGGGAAACUGCCUGAUGGAGGGGGAUAACUACUGGAAACGGUAGCUAAUACCGCAUAACGUCGCAAGACCAAAGAGGGGGACUUUCGGGCCUCUUGCCAUCAGAUGUGCCCAGAUGGGAUUAGCUAGUAGGUGGGGUAACGGCUCACCUAGGCGACGAUCCCUAGCUGGUCUGAGAGGAUGACCAGCCACACUGGAACUGAGCCACGGUCCAGACUCCUACGGGAGGCAGCAGUGGGGAAUAUUGCACAAUGGGCGCAAGCCUGAUGCAGCCAUGCCGCGUGUAUGAAGAAGGCCUUCGGGUUGUAAAGUACUUUCAGCGGGGAGGAAGGGAGUAAAGUUAAUACCUUUGCUCAUUGACGUUACCCGCAGAAGAAGCACCGGCUAACUCCGUG
rnacentral:rRNA from 1 species